rnacentral:rRNA from 1 species
ACUACGGGUGGCAGCAGUGAGGAAUAUUGGUCAAUGGGCGGAAGCCUGAACCAGCCAAGUAGCGUGCGGGAUGAAGGCCCUACGGGUCGUAAACCGCUUUUGCACGGGGAUAACACCCUCCACUUGUGGAGGUCUGCAGGUACCGUGCGAAGAAGGGCCGGCUAAUUCCGUGCCAGCAGCCGCGGUAAUACGGAAGGCCCGAGCUUUAUCCGGAUUUAUUGGGUUUAACGGGUGCGCAGGCGGGUUGUUAAGCCGGCGGUAAAAAUUCAGGGCUCAACCCUGUCGAGCCGUCGGAACUGGCAGUCUUGAUUGGGCGAGAAGUAUGCGGAAUGCGUGGUGUAGCGGUGACAUGCAUAGAUAUCACGCAGAACGCCGAUUGCGAAGGCAGCAUACCGGCGCCCAACUGACGCUGAGGCACGAAAGCGUGGGGAUCGAACAGGAUUAGAUACCCGAGUAGUC